GAGAUUUGUUGCAACUGGAAGCGCGGAUAUGUCAAUAAAGCUGUUUGAGGUGGCAAAGAUCAAGCAGAUGAUGCUGCCAGAUGCGAAAGAUGGUCCUGUCCGACCUGUUAUAAGGACAUUUUAUGAUCACAUUCAACCAAUAAAUGAUUUAGAUUUUCAUCCUCAGAAUACUGUUCUUAUAUCUGGUGCAAAAGAUCACACCAUAAAGUUCUUUGACUUCUCCA
rnacentral:misc_RNA from 1 species